rnacentral:Y_RNA from 1 species
GGCUGGUCUGAGUGUGGUGGUGUUUACAGCUAAUCGAUCACAAUCAGUUACAGAUUCCUUUGUUCUUUCUCCACUACUUCACUUGACCAGCCUAAA